rnacentral:lncRNA from 1 species
AAAGAGAUACAUAGUUGGCUUACAAUCGCCACUUCACACAAUUACAUGAAUAAAGCAUUACAUCAUACAGAUACAAUCAAGGUCCGACUACGGAACCAAAAUAAAAGAAGAACCCCAAAUGCGACAAAAGGUCCCCGAUCGACCCCAACUGGGCUCCACUACUAAUCAACUAGAACGAAACAACACAAAGGGGCAAGAUCUUCAUCGAGCUCCUCCUUGAGCUUGAUUGCGUCACCUGCUCGGUAACAUAGGUACCUGCAAACUGGUUUUGGAAGUAUCUGGUGAGCCACGAGGACUCAGCAAUCCCAUUACCAUGGGUAUCAAGACUAGCAAAGCUUAAAGGGAAAGGAAGGGGUAAAGUGGUGAGGUUGCAGCAGCGACUAAGCAAAUAUGGUGGCUAACCAACGCAAAUAAGAGCGAGAAGAGAACAAGCGGAACGGUCGUGAAGCUAGCAAUGAUCAAGAGGUGAUCCUGAACACCUACUUACGUCAGACAUAACACAGAAACCGUGUUCACUUCCCGGACUCCGCCGAGAAGAGACCAUCACGGUUACACACUCGGUUGAUGCGUUUUAAUUCGGAUCAAGUGUCAAGUUGUCUACAACCGGACAUUAACAAAUUCCCAUCUGCCACAUAACCGCGGGCACGGCUCUCGAAAGUUUAAAACCCUGCAGGGGUGUCCCAACUUAGCCCAUGACAAGCUCUCGCGAUCAUCGAAGGAAUAGACCUUCACCCAGGAAGACCCGAUCAGUCUCGGAAUCCCGGUACAUCAAGACAUUUCGACAAUGGUAAAACAAGACCAGAAAAGCCGUCCGAUGCGCCGACAAUCCCGAUAGGAGCUGCACAUAUCUCGUUCUCAGGGCAACACCGGAUGAGACAUCCUACGAGUAAAACCAAACCUCGAGUUGCCCCGAGGGGGCCCCGCAGUCUACUCGGUUCGAACCAGCACUUAGACAAGCACUGGCCCGGGGGGGCUGAAAUAAAGAUGACCCUCGAGAGAGCGACUCCCAAGGGAAAAAGAUAGGUGGUGGUGAGGCAAAUGGUAAAAGUCAAUGUUGGGCCUUGCUGGACAAGUUUUAUUCAAAGCGAACUGUCAAGGGGGUCCCAUAAAUCACCCGACCGCGUAAGGGACGCAAAAUCCGGGACAUAACACCGGUAUGACGGAAACUAGGGCGGCAAGAGUGGAACAAAACACCAGGCAUAAGGCCGAGCCUUCCACCCUUUACCAAGUAUAUAGAUGCAUUAAUAAUAUAAGAGAUAUUGUGAUAUCCCAACAUAAACCUGUCCACCAUGGAGAAAUCUUCAACUUCACCUGCAACUAGCAACGCUAUAAGAGGGGCUGAGCAAAGCGGUAACAUAGCCAAACAACGGUUUGCAUAGGAAAGGUGUCAAAGGUUAGGGGUUCAUGGCAAUAUGGGAUGGCUGGACAAACAGGUAAUAGGUAGCACAGCAUAGCGAAAGAACGAGGCAACUAGCAUAGCAAUGAUAGUAGUGAGAUCCAGGGUAGCGGUCAUCUUGCCUGAAAUCCCGCAAGGAAGAAGAACGAGUCCAUGAAGAAGAUGAACGGAUGAAGCCGAACCAAACGUAGACGAACGAAUCCUCACGAACGCAACGAAACAGGAACUAACAAGAAGAAGCACACAACAUAGGUAAACACACCACACAUGAACAAGACAUGAUGCACAACAAGCAUGAUGCAUGACCAAGCUACAUGAAGCUACUCAUGGCAAGAGAUGAUGCAAACAAGAACAACACAUCAAGGCAAGUUUAAAUGAGGCCGGGAACAACAUAUAACAAUUCCGGUAAGUCCUCAUAUGCAAAUUUCAAAAUGGGUCCAGAACUGAAUAAACAUUAUGUUCAAGUUGUUAAACAGCAAGUUAAGAUGCAGCAAGAUGAUCUACACGAAAUUCUAGUCAAGUUACAUAUAAAGUUCAUUAGAUUUGGAGCUACGGGCUAGAAAAUAUGAGCAAAACAAGUUAAACAUGGCAUUGAUGCAAAAUGCA